rnacentral:rRNA from 1 species
CGCAACAGCUCAAAUUUGAAAUCUGGCCUCUUUGGGGUCCGAGUUGUAAUUUGGAGAGGAUGUUUCGGGUACGGUCCGGGCUUAAAUUUCUUGGAACAGGACGUCAUAGAGGGUGAGAAUCCCGUAUGUGACUGGAUACCUAUGCUCAUGUGAAGCUCUUUCGAC